GAGUUUGAUCCUGGCUCAGGAUGAACGCUGGCGGCGUGCUUAACACAUGCAAGUCGAACGGGGAUGCCAUUUUCGAGGCGGUUAGUUUACUAAGCGCCAAGAUGCUGGCAUCUUAGUGGCGGACGGGUGAGUAACGCGUGGGUAACCUGCCUUAUACAGGGGGAUAACACUUAGAAAUAGGUGCUAAUACCGCAUAAGCGCACGGGGCUGCAUGGCCCAGUGUGAAAAACUCCGGUGGUAUAAGAUGGACCCGCGUCUGAUUAGCUUGUUGGCGGGGUAACGGCCCACCAAGGCGACGAUCAGUAGCCGGCCUGAGAGGGUGGACGGCCACAUUGGGACUGAGACACGGCCCAAACUCCUACGGGAGGCAGCAGUGGGGAAUAUUGGACAAUGGGGGGAACCCUGAUCCAGCGACGCCGCGUGAGUGAAGAAGUAUUUCGGUAUGUAAAGCUCUAUCAGCAGGGAAGAAAGAAAUGACGGUACCUGACUAAGAAGCCCCGGCUAACUACGUGCCAGCAGCCGCGGUAAUACGUAGGGGGCAAGCGUUAUCCGGAUUUACUGGGUGUAAAGGGAGCGUAGACGGUUAUGCAAGUCUGGAGUGAAAGGCGGGGGCCCAACCCCCGGGCUGCUUUGGAAACUGUGUAACUGGAGUGCAGGAGAGGUAAGUGGAAUUCCUAGUGUAGCGGUGAAAUGCGUAGAUAUUAGGAGGAACACCAGUGGCGAAGGCGGCUUA
rnacentral:rRNA from 1 species